rnacentral:rRNA from 1 species
UACAGAGGGGGCAAGCGUUAUUCGGAAUUAUUGGGCGUAAAGGGCGCGUAGGCGGCCUGGCAAGUGGAAGGUGAAAUCCCUCGGCUUAACCGAGGAACUGCCCUCCAAACUGCUUGGCUUGAGUCCGGGAGAGGUGAGUGGAAUUCCCCAGUGUAGCGGUGAAAUGCGUAGAUAUUGGGAGGAACACCAGUGGCGAAGGCGGCUCACUGGACCGGAACUGACGCUGAGGCGCGAAAGCGUGGGGAGCAAACGGG